rnacentral:lncRNA from 1 species
CUUUCAACAACAAAAUGUCUAGCCUUUGUUAUUGAUUAAAAUGAGCUCGCUUCUUUUCAAGAUACGGAGAAAACCCACGUGAUGAGUGGUCUAUCACAGAACUGAUACUGAAAGCAGAAGAGGGGUUGUUUUUUCUCCAGAGUAACUUGCAGGUGAUACAAUUGACUGUGGUAUGUAUGCUCAUUCCAGUAUUGGCAAUCGUUUCUUGGCUUUAUGGGUGUUUGCAAUUCUCCUGAAAAGCCUGUUUGACAGGAGGCAAGAGAACAUGGUGCAUGUUUGUGUAUCACAGGGCGUGAAGUCUCAUUUUGGACACCUAAAAGCUACUGCAUGCCUCCGGCCCAGAGAACAUGUUUUUAAAAUGUCUGAUCCCUGUCACAAACAGAAUUUCAUUUUGUGGCACCAAACGUCUGCUGUGGUUCUAAUGGACUCCCCUACCUCAACCUGCUUGCCAAGUGCCCUUCCCCGCACCUGAACAAAUCCCCUUCUUUCACUACUCACCAACCCCUUCACUUAUCCCCUCAUAGCUCACCCCAAAUCCCCCAUUUUAAGGGAGCAGGGAGGUGCUCCUCAGAGCAGCUUGCUAAAUUGCUCUGUGAAGUGCCUCUCCCCUCUGUUAAACCUUGCUGCAGCUGCAUUUAACUGGAGCUGGCAUAGCCACCUAUCAGCAGCCACAUGAGCUGCAGCAUGACGACAGUCUUACACUUUUAUGUAUAUAGGAAGAAAGGCACUAGCCUGAUUCACGGGCAACAAGAAACCAUGGUUGGCUGCAGUAUGAACAAACACUUCCCCGAUUUUUCACGCCCAUAAGGUGGAAACUUGAAACUUUUGAAUGUGGUUUGAAACAAGCAGCAGUUGCUCAUGACAUCCUGGGCUUGUGGGGAUUUUGCUUUGCUUAAACCAGGGGUCACUGACCUUUUUGGGCCAAUGGGCAUUUGGAAUUUUCAAAAAGUGCUGUGGGCGCCAGCCACAAACAGGCUGCUAUGAGGGUGUGGCAUAACACAAAAUGGCCACCACAUCUGAAGGAGUAGAAAAAGAGACAGGACUAUGGAGGGGGAGAGGUUGCUGAUGUUCAAAUAGGAAAUGUUGUGAUGUCCUGAAUGUGCACACCAACUUUCAUUCUGAAGUCUCAAUGUUCAAGGGAGAUAUUGUGCUACAAACAACAAGAGAAUGAAAAGCCAUCGGUUUCACUCAGCCAAACCAGAGUUCAGAAUGUGAGAAUGUCUUAAAGAUGAAGUGGCCUUCAGUAUUGGGCCAUCCAAAAUAAACACUUGUGGUAAGAGGCAAGCCUGUAUAACUUGUCAUUCACCUUUAAAUCAUGGGGGUUUGAGGGUGAAGAAAUAUUUGUUUGGGUUGCUUAAAUAAAGAAAUUCAAGAUAAUAAUUUGACCUUUGAGGCUGGUCCAUAAUUCAUUGCUUCCAAGACAGUCUAUUUUUGUUUUGUUUUUUCCCCUGUUUUGUUUUUAUUAUACUGGUGCCAUAAAUGGUUAUCUUCUCUCCACACAGUGUGACAGUAGUUUAAUUCCUGAUGCUAUGAAUCAGGGAUGGAGCUGGGUCGAUGACAGAGAGUUAGUGAUUUACAAUAGACCAGGCACUCUAUAAAAACCUAUGGCAAGGGGUUAUGAGUUAUCAAGAUGUGCUGAGCUGGCAUCCGUGGUCAGCAAUAUGCAGGGCGAUGGAAUCUCGCCUCUCAUGGCUGCCCAGCAUUCCAUUACUGCCUGUUAGCCUCUUGAGCGAGAGCCAGCGAAGGACGGGCGAUGGAGGGAGGAGUUCUCAGAAGGAUCUCACGGCUGGAGAAAUGGAGGGGGAACUUUUGAGGGAAACAAAUGGCAAAACGGUCACGCUGUCAAGACCCGCCGCAGCUCAUAAAUCUAAAAUGGGGAAAUUGUAUGUUCUGGAAUAUUAACAAAGCUGUUUGGACAACAGCAGCAGACUGAGGGGCUGAGAGAGACUCCCAAUUAUUAUUUUUCUGCAACGGCCAUAGUCCCAUGUUCCGGCAGAGGGUAAAGCUGAGUUUCUAGGAGGUUCCAGGUUUGUUCUCAAAAUAGCCUUGGAGAUGGGCCUUACCUUAUAUGCCCAGAGGCUUCUGGCAUGAUUGCCAGGAUCAUGCCUUCCUCAGCCUGCUGAAUGUCUUUGAGCAUCCGAGGCUACCCUGAAACAAACACUCAUAAG